UACAGAGGGCCCAAGCGUUGUUCGGAUUUACUGGGCGUAAAGGGUGCGUAGGUGGUUGGAUAAGUCUGAUGUGAAAUCUCCGAGCUUAACUCGGAAAUGGCAUUGGAAACUAUUCGACUAGAGAGUUGGAGGGGGGACUGGAAUACUUGGUGUAGCAGUGAAAUGCGUAGAUAUCAAGUGGAACACCGGUGGCGAAGGCGAGUCCCUGGACAACUUCUGACACUGAGGCACGAAAGCUAGGGGAGCAAACAGG
rnacentral:rRNA from 1 species